CUCUCGGGUGACGAGCGGCGGACGGGUGAGUAAUGUCUGGGAAACUGCCUGAUGGAGGGGGAUAACUACUGGAAACGGUAGCUAAUACCGCAUAACGUCGCAAGACCAAAGUGGGGGACCUUCGGGCCUCAUGCCAUCAGAUGUGCCCAGAUGGGAUUAGCUAGUAGGUGGGGUAACGGCUCACCUAGGCGACGAUCCCUAGCUGGUCUGAGAGGAUGACCAGCCACACUGGAACUGAGACACGGUCCAGACUCCUACGGGAGGCAGCAGUGGGGAAUAUUGCACAAUGGGCGCAAGCCUGAUGCAGCCAUGCCGCGUGUGUGAAGAAGGCCUUCGGGUUGUAAAGCACUUUCAGCGGGGAGGAAGGCG
rnacentral:rRNA from 1 species